GACGAACGCUGGCGGCGUGCUUAACACAUGCAAGUCGAACGGAAAGGCCUGCUUUCCCUUGUGGAUUGCGGGUACUCGAGUGGCGAACGGGUGAGUAACACGUGAGUGAUCUGCCCCCAACUUGGGUAUAAGCCUGGGAAACUGGGUCUAAUUCCCGAUAGGACUGCAGGGUGGUGCCUGUGGUGGAAAACGAUUUUCUAGUGGUUGGGGAUGAGCUCGCGGCCUAUCAGCUUGUUGGUGGGGUAAUGUCCUACCAAGGCGGCGACGGGUAGCCGGCCUGAGAGGGUGGACGGCCACAUUGGGACUGAGAUACGGCCCAGACUCCUACGGGAGGCAGCAGUGGGGAAUAUUGCACAAUGGGCGGAAGCCUGAUGCAGCGACGCCGCGUGGGGGAUGACGGCCUUCGGGUUGUAAACUCCUUUCGACCGCGAGGAAGCCACCUGGUUGGAAGGGUGGUGACGGUAGUGGUAGAAGAAGCACCGGCUAACUACGUG
rnacentral:rRNA from 1 species